UACAGAGGUCCCAAGCGUUGUUCGGAUUCACUGGGCGUAAAGGGUGCGUAGGCGGCGUGUCGCGUCGGGAGUGAAAGACCGGGGCUUAACCCCGGUUCUGCUUCCGGUACGGGCAUGCUGGAGUGUGGCAGGGGAGACUGGAAUUCCUGGUGUAGCGGUGGGAAUGCGCAGAUAUCAGGAGGAACACCGGUGGCGAAGGCGGGUCUCUGGGCCAUUACUGACGCUGAGGAGCGAAAGCGUGGGGAGCGAACAGG
rnacentral:rRNA from 1 species